UACGAAGGGGGGCUAGCGUUGCUCGGAAUCACUGGGCGUAAAGCGCACGUAGGCGGCUUUUUAAGUCAGGGGUGAAAUCCUGGAGCUCAACUCCAGAACUGCCUUUGAUACUGAGAAGCUUGAGUCCGGAAGAGAUGAGUGGAACUCCGAGUGUAGAGGUGAAAUUCGUAGAUAUUCGGAAGAACACCAGUGGCGAAGGCGGCUCACUGGUCCGGUACUGACGCUGAGGUGCGAAAGCGUGGGGAGCAAACAGG
rnacentral:rRNA from 1 species